GACGGGGGAUGCAAGUGUUAUCCGGAAUCACUGGGCGUAAAGCGUGCGUAGGUGGUGAGUUAAGUCUGUCGUGAAAGCCCCGGGCUUAACCUGGGAAUGGCAUUUGGGACUGCAAGGCUUGAGUGCGGCAGAGGAGACUGGAAUUCCUGGUGUAGCAGUGAAAUGCGUAGAUAUCAGGAGGAAUACCGAUGGCGAAGGCAGGUCUCUGGGCUGACACUGACGCUCAUGCACGAAAGCGUGGGGAGCAAACAGG
rnacentral:rRNA from 1 species